rnacentral:rRNA from 1 species
UGAGGAAUUUUGCGCAAUGGGCGAAAGCCUGACGCAGCAACGCCGCGUGGACGAUGAAGGUCUUCGGAUCGUAAAGUCCUGUCGAGUGGGAAGAAAAAUGAAGGGGCUAAUACCUUCUUCAUUCGACUGUACCACCAGAGGAAGCCCCGGCUAACUCCGUGCCAGCAGCCGCGGUAAUACGGAGGGGGCAAGCGUUGUUCGGAAUUAUUGGGCGUAAAGGGCGCGUAGGCGGCCGGAUAAGUCUGACGUGAAAUCCCUCGGCCUAACCGGGGAACUGCGUUUGAAACCGUUCGGCUCGAGUCCGGGAGAGGGUAGUGGAAUUCCCAGUGUAGCGGUGAAAUGCGUAGAUAUUGGGAGGAACACCGGUGGCGAAGGCGGCUACCUGGACCGGCACUGACGCUGAGGCGCGAAAGCUAGGGUAGCAAACAGGAUUAGAUACCCUGGUAGUCCUAGCUGUAAACGAUGGGUGCUUGGUGUAGCGGGUAUCGACCCCUGCUGUGCCGAAGCUAACGCAUUAAGCACCCCGCCUGGGGAGUACGGUCGCAAGGCUG